rnacentral:misc_RNA from 1 species
CCGAGCUUACAACUCCCAAACCCCUGUGAACAUACCUAUAUGUUGCCUCGGCGGAUCAGCCCGCGCCCCGUAAAACGGGACGGCCCGCCGCAGGAUCCACAAACUCUGUUUUUAUUGUAACUUCUGAGUAACAAAACAAAUAAAUCA